AGCGCAGCCGGCGAGAACCGCCGAUGCUACUGGCCCGGAGCGCAGCCGGCGAGAACCGCCGAUGCUACUGGCCCGGAGCGCAGCCGGCGAGAACCGCCGAUGCUACUGGCCCGGAGCGCAGCCGGCGAGAACCGCCGAUGCUACUGGCUGGAGCGCGGCUGGUAGGAAGUGUCGAUGCUGCUGGCCCGGAACGCAGACAGAUGGGCGCUGCCUCUAAACCUGUUUAGCACACUGAAGGUUCGUGGGGAACCCGAUGAUAAAAUAUUCGCAGACGACCUAACUCGGACUCAAGGUUGCGAAAGUAACAGAGCAGCUACCUCGCUGCGAUAUAUUUAAAGUCAUCCCUCUAGCCAAACUUUUGUCCGCCGAUAGAUCCUACAAGGGGGGCAGGCACAGGCCUGUCACACACCUCGCUUGGUCGGUCACUCUCUCUGGACUGUGACUACCAGUGCCCUGGCACGGGGUCCUCUGACCCAUGACCAGCCGCAUUUGGCCAGGGCGUCUGGCGGCGGGCGGAUGGAGGCUGGAGUUUGGGCCGGGAGACUGUCUAAUGAGGCAACGAAGCCCUCAAAACUGCUUCGGCACCCUGAGUCCAAGCACCUUGCACUUAAAGAUGGACCUGCUGAGUUUUUCCAGAGGGAAAAACAUGAGCAGCGCGGGACAGAAGCUAAGUGCCGAGAGCCGUGAAAACUAAAUUGCGGGAUAGACUGGACAUAAGGAACCUGCUUCGAGUAUCACUGUAUUCCCGUCAUGUUUAACACCCCCACUCCCCCGUCGGCCGGUCCGCAAGAACAUUAUCAAUAUUAAACUGGUCCACGGUGCAAAAAAAGAAUUCAGAAGGACAAUGGAUAUUUUUUAAUAUGGAGCAUAGAACAUAGAAGAUUACAGGAACAGGUUCCUUGGCCCAUCAUACCAGUACUGAGUACAAUGCCAAAUUAACUAGUCUCACCAGCCCACUCACGGAUGUGGAAAGACAUCUGAGCAACUGCAGAAAACCCAUAAGGCCCUAGGAAAAAUGUUUAAACAUCAAUCAAGUAUCAUCGGAGAUCAGGAUGGAACUCUGGAAACACAAAAGGGAAUUGACAGCGUGUCAAUAGGAAUCACAAAAGGAAAUUUAGGUCCAGUUUCUGACUGAGCAGCUCUUGAACAGGAAAUGCAG